rnacentral:rRNA from 1 species
GACGAACGCUGGCGGCGUGCUUAACACAUGCAAGUCGAGCGAGCGGCGGACGGGUGAGUACUGUCUGGGAAACUGCCUGAUGGAGGGGGAUAACUACUGGAAACGGUAGCUAAUACCGCAUACCAUCGGAUGUGCCCAGAUGGGAUUAGCUAGUAGGUGGGGUAACGGCUCACCUAGGCGACGAUCCCUAGCUGGGCUGAGAGGAUGACCAGCAACACUGGAACUGAGACACGGUCCAGACUCCUACGGGAGGCAGCAGUGGGGAAUAUUGCACAAUGGGCGCAAGCCUGAUGCAGCCAGGCCGCGUGUAUGAAGAAGGCCUUCGGGUUGUAAAGUACUUUCAGCGGGGAGGCGUUACCCGCAGAAGAAGCACCGGCUAACUCCGUGCCAGCCGCCGCGGUAAUAC